ACACGCUGGCGGCGUGCCUAAUACAUGCAAGUCGAGCGGGGAUUAUGCUUGAUCGCUUCGGUGAGACGGCAUAUAUCCUAGCGGCGGACGGGUGAGUAACGCGUGGGUAAUCUACCUCGUAGUUCGGGAUAACAGGCCGAAAGGCUUGCUAAUACCGGAUGAGUUCAUGCUUAUGCAUAUAGGCAUGAAGAAAGGGCUAGCCCGCUAUGAGAUGAGCCCGCGUCCCAUUAGCUUGUUGGUGGGGUAAUGGCCUACCAAGGCAACGAUGGGUAGCCGGCCUGAGAGGGUGUACGGCCACACUGGGACUGAGACACGGCCCAGACUCCUACGGGGGGCAGCAGUAGGGAAUUUUCGGCAAUGGGCGAAAGCCUGACCGAGCGACGCCGCGUGAGGGACGAAGGCCUUCGGGUUGUAAACCUCUGUCUGGGGGGAUGAGAACGGACGGUACCCCCGGAGGAAGCCCCGGCUAACUACGUG
rnacentral:rRNA from 1 species